rnacentral:rRNA from 1 species
UACGUAGGGUGCGAGCGUUGUCCGGAAUUACUGGGCGUAAAGAGCUCGUAGGUGGUUUGUCGCGUUGUUCGUGAAAACUCACAGCUCAACUGUGGGCGUGCGGGCGAUACGGGCAGACUGGAGUACUGCAGGGGAGACUGGAAUUCCUGGUGUAGCGGUGGAAUGCGCAGAUAUCAGGAGGAACACCGGUGGCGAAGGCGGAUCUCUGGGCCUGUUCUGACGCUGAGGCGCGAAAGCUAGGGGAGCGAACAGG